rnacentral:tRNA from 1 species
GCCUCCAUCGUCUAGGGGACUAGGACACAACCCUUUCAAGGUUAAAACAAGAGUUCGAAUCUCUUUGGAGGUGCAA